AGGACGAACGCUGGCGGCGUGCUUAACACAUGCAAGUCGAACGAUGAAGCCCUUCGGGGUGGAUUAGUGGCGAACGGGUGAGUAACACGUGGGCAAUCUGCCCUUCACUCUGGGACAAGCCCUGGAAACGGGGUCUAAUACCGGAUACCACUCCUGCCCGCAUGGGUAGGGGUUGAAAGCUCCGGCGGUGAAGGAUGAGCCCGCGGCCUAUCAGCUUGUUGGUGGGGUAAUGGCCCACCAAGGCGACGACGGGUAGCCGGCCUGAGAGGGCGACCGGCCACACUGGGACUGAGACACGGCCCAGACUCCUACGGGAGGCAGCAGUGGGGAAUAUUGCACAAUGGGCGAAAGCCUGAUGCAGCGACGCCGCGUGAGGGAUGACGGCCUUCGGGUUGUAAACCUCUUUCAGCAGGGAAGAAGCGAAAGUGACGGUACCUGCAGAAGAAGCGCCGGCUAACUAC
rnacentral:rRNA from 1 species